UAAAUAUUUACUCACGUAGGUUGCAAUCGUUCUAAGAAUGAUUGAUGAAAAGUUGAUGAACUCAGCUUUUUUAGGGAAGACGGUGCGAAGCCGUCGCGGACCCGCCGCUGUAACCAUGGACGAAAACCGCAAUGUGCCACUAUUCUGAGCUUGUCGAAGAAUGGUAAGGCGCGGCGAGUAGGAUGAUGUGGGAGCCAGAAGACCUGCCUACGAAUUUAUUUUUGG
rnacentral:ncRNA from 2 species